UGGGGAAUAUUGGACAAUGGGGGGAACCCUGAUCCAGCCAUGCCGCGUGUGUGAAGAAGGCCUUAUGGUUGUAAAGCACUUUAAGCGAGGAGGAGGCUCUUUUGGUUAAUACCCAAGAUGAGUGGACGUUACUCGCAGAAUAAGCACCGGCUAACUCUGUGCCAGCAGCCGCGGUAAUACAGAGGGUGCGAGCGUUAAUCGGAUUUACUGGGCGUAAAGCGUGCGUAGGCGGCUAAUUGAGUCGGAUGUGAAAUCCCCGAGCUUAACUUGGGAAUUGCAUUCGAUACUGGUUAGCUAGAGUGUGGGAGAGGAUGGUAGAAUUCCAGGUGUAGCGGUGAAAUGCGUAGAGAUCUGGAGGAAUACCGAUGGCGAAGGCAGCCAUCUGGCCUAACACUGACGCUGAGGUACGAAAGCAUGGGGAGCAAACAGG
rnacentral:rRNA from 1 species